GUGUCAGCAGCCGCGGUAAGACGAGCUACACAAACGUUAUUCGGAAUUACUGGGCUUAAAGGGUGCGUAGGCUGCGCGGAAAGUUGGGUGUGAAAUCCCUCGGCUCAACCGAGGAACUGCGCCCAAAACUACCGUGCUCGAGGAAGAUAGAGGUGAGCGGAACUUACGGUGGAGCGGUGAAAUGCGUUGAUAUCGUAAGGAACACCCGUGGCGAAAGCGGCUCACUGGGUCUUUUCUGACGCUGAUGCACGAAAGCUAGGGGAGCAAACGGGAUUAGAUACCCCCGUAGUCC
rnacentral:rRNA from 1 species